AUACCUUAUCCCUUCCAAUGUCUCCCCGCCGCUCUCAGGAAAAAAGCCGCCGCUACCGUCCUCGGUGCUCCCGGCGGUUACGGCGAAGGAGUCCCUGGGCAUGCUGCUCCUGCGCCAACGCCUCCGCCAUCCGCACCGUCGUGGGCAACGCCAAAUACAACGCCGAUGCCGCAUAUACGCGCGCGCGCCGGUCGCCGCCUCGGCCUCGGUACGCCCGACCGCGGAGGAGGGGGAGGAGCAGGAGCAGUGGCGCAGGAGCCGGCAGCGUAGACGGAGGGAGAGGAGUAGCGCGAGGGGCGCGGACGGAGGGGUCGCCGGGGACGCUUGGCGCGCCACCACACAACGGUCCCGGGCCGCCGCGGGGAGGCAGAGAGGCGACACGGGAGAGGUGAGAGGAUAGCCGAACAGCGGGCUCGCAGUCGCAGGGUCACUAUGCGAGAGCACAUAUCCUCGCAUGGCAGGUUACAUGUAGCCCUAUAAAAUCAAAUUCAGCCCCAUGUUACCUGAUUUCCUGUGAAUGGAUUUUACUGCUUUUCAGUUUUGGACACUGUGUAACUUGUUGUAUUUCUGGAGCAGUGCUGCGAGAGGAGGCUAUGAAGUACGUCCAAUACUUAACCUACAGCCAUCUAAUAUGCAAAUUUAAUAAUAGAAGAAGAUGACCUCAUUUAUAUACUGGAAAAUGAAAAACAAAAAAUGUAUAAGAAGACCCAAUUCCUCUUUUAUGUGCACCUUGUGUGCGUAGACACUGGACUACAAUUGUAGCAACAAAGAGUAUAUCAAUUUAUCGGGUAAUAGAAAUAGUGCUACUUC